rnacentral:lncRNA from 1 species
CACGCCUGCAUUGUAUCUACCUGCACUGCCUGACCAGCCCAGAGGAGCCCCGUCUCUCAUGGGAGACCAUGGCAGAAGACUGCAAGCUAUUCUCAGGCUGGAACAAAGGCUGUGGCUGCAGUGCUCCCCGUGCUGCAGGCUAGGGGCUCUGAGGAAGAAGACCGUGAUGGGUUUUGUGU